rnacentral:lncRNA from 10 species
ACUUUGGGCGAGUCUACAGGGAGAAAAUGAUGCUCUGACAAAGAUCUAUUCCCCUUCCUGCUCUUCUACCUUUCAUUCACGAACGCUGAGGUUUCUGACAUCCCCUAGAAUCUGCUCAGACACGCCUUCACUCCCAGGACAGCAGAACAGAGUUAAGAGAACUCAAGAAUAUUUAGGAAAACUAAUAUAUCCCAAGCUGGAUUUUUAGAGUUCUGGUGAGAUAUAACUUACAUACCAUAAAGUUCACCUGCUUAAAAUGUACAAAGCAGUAGUUUUUAAUACAUCUAUCGAGUUGUGCAAUCAUCCCUAUAAUCUGAUUUUAAUUUUUUUUUUUUUUUUUUUUUUUUUUUUUUUUUUUUUUUUUUUUUUUGAGGCUGAGUCUCGUUCUGUCGCCCAGGCUGGAGUGCAGUGGAGCGAUCUCGGCUUACUGCAACCUCCACCUCCCGGGUUCAAGCGAUUCUCCUGCCUCAGCCUCCCGAGUAGCUGAGACUACAGGCGCCCGCCACCACGCCCGGCUAAUUUUUUUGUAUUUUUAGUAGAGGCGGGGUUUCACCGUGUUAGCCAGGUUGGUCUCGAUCUCCUGACCUCGUGAUCCGCCUGCCUCAGCCUCCCAAAGUGUUGGGAUUACAGGCGUGAGCCGCCGCGCCCGGCCUUUUUUUUUUUCUUUUGGAGACAGUCUGGCUCUGUCACCCAGGCUGGAAUGCAGUGGUGCCAUCUCGGCUUACUGCAAACUCCACCUCCCGGGUUCAAGCGAUUCUCAUGCCUCUGCCUCCAGAGUAGCUGGGACCACAGGCACGUGCCACCACGCCCAGCUAGGUUUUUGUUUUUUUUUUUUUUGAGACGGAGUCUCGCUCUUGUCGCCCAGGCUGGAGUGCAGUGGCGCGAUCUCGGCUCACUGCAAGCUCCGCCUCCCGGGUUCACGCCAUUCUUCUGCCUCAGCCUCCCGAGUAGCUAGGACUAUAGGCGCCCGCCACCGCGCCGGGCUAAUUUUUUGUAUUUUUUUUUUAGUAGAGACGGGGUUUCGCCGUGGUCUCGAUCUCCUGACCUCGUGAUCCACCCGGCCUCUCAAAGUGCUGGGAUUACAGGCGUGAGCCACCGCGCCCGGCCGCUAGUUUUUGUAUUGUUUGUAGAGAUGGGGUUUCACCAUGUUGGCCAGGAUGGUCUGGAUCUCCUGACCUCAAGUGAUCCGCCGCCUCGACCUCCCAAAGUGCUGGGAUUACAGGUAUGAGCCACCGCGCCCAGCCUGCCUGAUUUUAAACAUUUUCAUUACCCCAAAAGGAAACCCUGAAACCAUUCGGAGUCACUCCCUGUUCUCCCCCAUUUCUCCUCCCCCUUCCAGCCCUAGGCAAUCAUUAAUCUACUUUCUGUUUGUAUACACUUGCCUUUUCUGGACAUUUUAUAUAUAAUAUGUGGUCUUUGUGACUGACUUUCACUUUGGGUAAUGUUUUUGAGGAUUAUCCCUAUUGUAGCUUGUAUUAGUACUUCAUUUAUUUGUUGUUGCAAAUAAUUUUGUUUACCCUUUUGUUAGUUAAUAGACAUUUGAGUUGUUUUACUUUUACGUUAUUAUGAAUAAUGUUCCUAUGUUCAUAGCAUUAGUCUAUAAGUCUUUGUGUUGCCAUAUGUUUUCAUUUCUGUUGGAUAGAUACUGAGGAACGAAAUUGUGGGCUCAUAUGGUAGCUCUAUGUUUAACAUUUGAGAAACUGCCAAACUGUUUUCCAAAGUGCAGGCACCAUUUUACAUUCCCAUUAGCAAUAUAUGAGGGCUCUAAUUUCUCCACAUUCUUGCUGACACUGUUAUUAUCUUCUUUUUUUAUUAUCCUGGUGGCUGUUAAGUGGUAUCUCAUUGUUGCUUUAAUUUGUAUUUCCCUAAUAACCAAUUCCGUUAAGCAUCUUUCUUAUUGUGCUUGUUUUCUAUUCAUAUAUCUUCUUUGAAGAAAUGUUUAUGAUUUGACUAUUUUUUAAUUGGUUUAUUUGUCUUUUUAUUAUUGAGUUGUAAGCAUUCUUUAUAUAUUCUAGAUACAAAUCCCUUGUUGGAGAUAUUAUUUGCAAAUAUUUUCUCUCUGUUGUCUUUUCACUUUUUUGAUAGUAUUCUUUGAAACACAAAAUGUUUUAAUCCAAAGCUGAAAUCGUUAUUAUCCCUGCAACAUUCCCUCCUCCCUUCUUCUCCAUCUCAAUAUGCAGCACUACUACCCACUGAAUUCCUCAAGACUAUAAAUUUGGAACUCAUUAAGUCAUCCUUAACAUAUUCCUACUCUCCCCCUCCUUCCUCACCACACUCAUUCCUCCCAUUCAGUGAUCACUUGCUCUUGCUGAUUCUAUCCCCAAAAUAUGCCUUGAACCCAUUCACUGCCAUCUCAAGGCCUAGGCCAAGCAACCAUCAUUGUCAUGAUGUCUACAUUUUGAAACCCACACAGAAAAGGCACUCCUCACUCCUGAUAUUAUUUUGUAUACUUCUCCCAAAAUUUUUUCUGGGUCUUUUACGGUUUCAUUUUGUGCUCUCAAAUUUCUGAAGUAUAGCUACAACUUUAUUUUUUUCUAGAGAGUUACUCAGUUAUCUAAAAAUGUUGAGUAAUAUAUUUCCCCCCACCUAGUUGAAAUGUCAAAUUUACCAUAUAACAGAUUUCCUAUAUAUAUCUGGGUCUUCUGCUGGACUUUCUUUUCUGUCCAUUGAGGUACUAUUUAAUUCAUCUACCAGUACUUUUAAAAUAAUUGUAUGAUGUUUUAAUGUCUGACAUGGCUAGUCCUAGAGUAGUCUUUUUUAAAUGAAAUUAUAAUCAUAAGACAUCUAUGCCUACAUCCUUCUAGAAGCUCCUCCUCAUUUUUAGGUUAACAUUAAAAAUCCAUAUCUUGGCCCACAAAACCUUGCAUGAUCUGACCCCUGCCCACCUGCUGCACUGUAGUUGACAUUACUCACUGUCCCUCUCAGCUCCCACACUGGCUUUCUCUUUGUUUCUAUCCUGUUCUAAUUUGUCAAACCUUUUCCUACUGCUCGUCCUUCACAUUUACUCUUUAUUCUGCUUAGAACACUGUUUCCCCUAUUCUUUAGCCAAAAUCUUUUUAUCCUUCAAGUCCCAGAUUAGGUGCCAUCACCUCAUGCAAUUCUUCACUGACUGCCCCCCAUUAUAUACUUUCAUGGACCUUCUACUUUUCCUUCACAGUGCUUAUUAUUAUUGAAUUCUUUUGAGUUUGAGGGAUAACUAUUUGCUUAUUGUCUGUUUUACCACUAGACCGUAAACUCCACAACAACAGUGAUUGUGUGAUUCUUACUCACGAGGGUGUCUUCAACACCUAGAACCAUACCUAACAGAUGAUAGACAUUCAACUGGUAUUUUUUGAAUCAAUAAAUGUGGACUUUGUGAGAUUUGUGAUCAUUAGGGCCAAGGUCAGGAGUCCCAGGACUGGGAACAUCUAAAAUAUAUACAUAAAAUCAGUGGAAGCACUCAGUUAAUUACCAGAUAAUAUUUUUUUAAAGAGUAAGCUUAUAUUUCAGACUCUGAAUACCACGUAUGUAAGUGCUUUAGAUAUCUCUCCAAUAGAGAAAUAAUGGCAUGGAAAUAUGGUAAAUAUGUCUCAAUUUAGAUUAUUUCUGCUUUUCCCAACAUGUAUUUUUCCCCAACAUUACAUUUUGUGAAAUAACUUGUGGGUUUUUUCAAUGCCUUCUAUACUCACUACAUAUGGUUUUCUUUUCUUUUUUUUUCCAAUUCUUCGUUUUCUUUUUUCUUCCUUUCCUUCUCAUUCUUUCUUCCUUCUUUCGUUUCUUCUAUUGUUAAACAGCAAUCAUGACUGUCCAUGGAGAAUUAUUUAAAGAAAUCUCACCUAUUUCUUUUCAAAGCAAAUAAAAGAUAAAAUUUACUUGCUGCUGUUGAAGUCAAACUAAGAAAGAGCCAGCAAACACUAGACCAUCCUCUAGCCAGUGUCCUUGCAGCUGCAUUUUGGCAGUGAUGGCUAACUGUCCCCUUCCACAGAAAAUAGAUGUUUCUGGGAAGUGCCUGAACUAUAGGAACCAUAUUUUUCAGUCCCACGCCACUGUUUGCAUCUAAGUGGAGCCAUUUUACUAGCUUUCACUAUGAAGUUCAGGUGGAAAUUUUGUGUUUCAUUUCUAGUACACAAUAGUUAAGAGGUGAAUGAUUUCCACUUUCUUUCCUCUUUAACCUGGUUGCAGAAGACUUAAAGGCCCUAGUUAAUGCCAGAGCCACAAGAUGAUAGGAGCCUGUGUCCCCGAAUCACAGCCUGGAGAAAGACCCUUGCUUAGCAGGCACACUCACAUAGAACUUUUACAUACGCAAAAGUAUACCCCAUUAUAAGCCAGCAAAAUCUCAUAAUUUAUUAAUUAUAGCAGUUAGCCUUGCCUUUAUAAAUACAUUCAUCUGCCUGAUCUCUGUUCAUUUCCUCCCUCUCCUGGGCUGCUUACUCCACCAGUGCACUUGCAGUCCUGUGAGAUGUCCACGUGAGCUCUGCUAUCCUUGCAUCCUAAGGGAAAAAAUAAGGCAAGGGGGAAGGAUCCCUAAUGUAAACAGCUCCUUCAAGUUAAUAGUAAAUAUUUUAUCUUCUUAUACAAGAAUGCCAGCUAAUACAUGCAAAAUAAAUUAUAAGAAAUUACCAUUUUGUAACCUGCAGUGCAAUAAUUGAUUUCUACAUGGAUUGUCAAUGGGUUCUAAAAUCACUGGGUAAAAGUUGUAGAACAACAAGAUAGUCUCAUGGUACCCAAGGAAUACCUACAGAUUAUUUUCUAUGUUAAAAAGGAAUGAAAAUGAACUUUUUAUAGUGGAAAACCUUUUCAUAACCCCUUUAUCCAAGUGAUCAAAGUUAGUAUCAUUAAUAGUAGGACACAGAUAUUAUGAGGCUCCUGAUAUAAUGCAAUGGGAAAUAUAUACUGUCACCCAGGAAGCAUUCUUGCCAAGAAUAUUUUUGGUUUUUUUCUUUUCUUUCUUUUUUUUUUUUUUUUUUUUUUUUUUGGACAGUCUUGCUCUGUUGCCCAGGCUGGAGUGCAGUAACAUGAUCUCAAGCUCACUGUAACUUUUGCCUCCCGGGUUCAAGCAAUUAUUGUGCCUCAGCCUCCCAAGUAGCUGGGAUUACAGGUGCAUGCCACCAUGCCUGGCUGAUUUUUGUAUUUUUAGUAGAGAUGGGGGUUACACCAUGUUGACCAGACUGGUCUUGAACUCCUGAUCUCAAGUGAUCCACCCACCUCAGCCUCCCAAAGUGCUAGGACUACAGGUGUGAGUCACCUCACCCGGCUGCCAAGAAUGUGUAACCUGAAUUCAAUCAAGCCCCUAGACCUCACUGCUCAAUAUGAUAGCCACUAGUUACAUUUGACUAUUGAGUUCUUGAAAUAUGGCUACUACAAAUUGAGAUGUGCUAUUAGUACAGAAAACAUACAGAUUUUAGAGAACUUAGUACAAAAAAAUGAAAAAAUCUCAAUAUAUUUUUGAUAAGUAUUAUAUGUUGGAAUCAUAUUUUAGAUAUAUUGGGUUAAGGAAAUAUUUAAUUAAAAUGAAUCUUUCUUUUUACUUUUUUUUUUGAAACGGAGCCUCGCUUUGUCGCCCAGGCUGGAGUGCAGUAGUGGGAUCUUGGCUCACUGCAAGCUCCGCUCCUGGGUUCACGCCAUUCUCCUGCCUCAGCUGGAGCUACAGGUGCCCGCCACCACACCCGGCUAAUUUUUUGUAUUUUUAGUAGGGACGGGGUUUCACCAUGUUAGCCAGGAUAGCCUCGAUCUCCUGACCUCAUGAUCCGCCCACUUUGGCCUCCCAAAGUGCUGGGAUUACAGGUGUGAGCCACCGCUCCCGGCCUCUUUUUACUUUUUAAAAUGUGAUUACUAAUUUAAAAUUACAUAUGUGGCUUAUGUUAUGUUUUUAUUAGACAACCCCACUCUAGAACCAAUUUCCAGCCUAUAAAAAAUAAAAGGAAUAGAAAAAUUAAUUUAGCAAUACCAUCAGGAAACAAUCAGACAGAUCCAGAAAAUGGAAUAUUAGCCUGGAUUCUUCAAAGAGUCAAUACCAUGAAAAAUAUGGAUGGACUUUUCUAAAUUAAAAGAUUCUAAAGAGACAUGAAAUUUAAAUGCAAUGUGUGAGCUUCAACUGGAUCCAGGAUUAGAAACAGCUACAAAAAACAUUUCAUGCAUAAUUGAAGAAAUGUGAAUAUAGAUUGAAUAUUUCAGAGAGAAACAAAGUGGCAGAAAUGUUUUUAAAAGUUGGUAAUUAUUUCAUUGCUAUCACUUCUCUGGGUCUUAUUUAAAAACACCUAAGCUGCCUGGCCUAAAGCUCUUUCACCAUUACAUAUGAAAAAAUUGGCAGACAAAGGAUAGGGAGAACUAGAUUCCAAUUUUCUUGGAAUGUAUAAUCUUGGGUAAAACUGUUCUUGAAUAAAUGGAAAUGAAAGGGCUAACGUUUUUUAAAGAAGAUGAUUAGUCAAAAAAAUCAAAGGAUUUCAUUGAUAAUAAGUGUUAUGGAGAAAAAGUACAGGGUCCACGAGAAUAUAUAAUAAGGGGCAGUCAGGGAAGACAUGCCCAUGAUAUGGGCAUUUAAUCUGGAAUGUAAGAGAUGAACAGGUUUUGGCUAAAUAAAGAACAAUGGGAAUAGUGUUGUAAGCGAAAGGAAGAGUAAAGGUAAAGGACUAGCAGUGGGGAGAAGUUUGACAAGUUAGGAACAAAGAGUAGGCCACUGUGGGGGAUUGAAGGGGCAGUGAGUGAGAUGCUGGCUGCAGAGGAGGAGGUGGGCAAACAGAAUACAUAUAUCCAAGCCAUUCCUCUAUCUUCCACUAUUAUCCACUUCUAAUCCUUCACCACUUCUCUUCCACAAAAGAUUUGAAGUGAUUUUACAAAAUUAACUCAAAUAAAAGGAUGAAAAAAUAAAUAAUAAAUAUUCAUUCAAAAGGAGCAGAGAAAUAGUACUUGGAAUUAAUAAAUUAAACUUCAGUUAAAUUUGGCCAGGCGUGGUGGCUUAUGCCUG